rnacentral:rRNA from 1 species
AAUCAACGCUGGCGGCGUGCCUCAGACAUGCAAGUCGAACGCGAAAGUUUCCUUCGGGAAGCGAGUAGAGUGGCGCACGGGUGAGUAACACGUAAGUAAUCUACCUCGGGGUGGGGAAUAACAUCGGGAAACCGAUGCUAAUACCGCAUAAUGCAGCGGCUUCUUAUGAAGACAGUUGUUAAAGCAUUUAUGUGCCUGGAGAGGAGCUUGCGGCAGAUUAGCAGUUGGUAAGGUAAUGGCUUACCAAGGCAACGAUCUGUAGCCGACCUGAGAGGGUGGUCGGUCACACUGACACUGAAUAACGGGUCAGACUCCUACGGGAGGCAGCAGUCGGGAAUUUUGGGCAAUGGGCGAAAGCCUGACCCAGCAACGCCGCGUGAAGGAUGAAGUAUUUCGGUA